AGGAUUUGCACUGCAAAAUCCAUCAAGCACUCUAUAGAUUUCCUAGCAGCCAAUGAAAAAGAUCUUCACAGAAUAGAAAUACCUCUCGAAUUUCACAUGUUGGAGUCAGGGACUGUCCAUGGUCUAGCAUUUUGGUUUGAUGUAGCAUUUAUUGGAUCAGCGUACACAGUAUGGUUAUCGACCUCGCCCACAGAAGCUUUAACGCAUUGGUAUCAAGUGCGGUGUCUUUUAGAACUCCUAUCCUAGCAAAAGCGGGACAACUUUUAGUCGGAAAAGUCGUGCUUGAAGCUAAUCACAGGCAAAGUUAUGACGUGACUAUUGAAACUAAUAAUUGAAGGCUCUUUUAUCUGGCGUGUCUUCAAAUACUUUAGAUCUAAAAAAUCCAUACUUCAGGUAUACGGGCCAACCUGUCGCACCUCCACCUAGUAUCAACACAGUAUCUCCUAGUGAAGCCUAUUGGUCACAUCUCGAUCAGCAAGGUGCCAGAAAUGGUGAGAAUCUCAUUUCUUAAAUGGUGCUUGACUUUUUAAUUUUUUUUUUUUUCCCAAAUAUU
rnacentral:lncRNA from 1 species